AUUGAACGCUGGCGGCAGGCCUAACACAUGCAAGUCGAACGAGUGGCGGACGGGUGAGUAAUGUCUGGGAAACUGCCUGAUGGAGGGGGAUAACUACUGGAAACGGUAGCUAAUACCGCAUACCAUCGGAUGUGCCCAGAUGGGAUUAGCGAGUAGGUGGGGCAAAGGCUCACCUAGGCGACAAUCCCUAGCUGGUCUGAGAGGAUGACCAGCCACACUGGAACUGAGACACGGUCCAGACUCCUACGGGAGUCAGCAGUGGGGAAUAUUGCUCAAUGGGCGCAAGCCUGAUGCAGCCAUGCCGCGGGUAUGAAGAAGGCCUUCGGGUUGUAAAGUACUUUCAGCGGAGAGGCGUUACCCGCAGAAGAAGCACCGGCUAACUCCGUGCCAGCAGCCGCGGUAAGUC
rnacentral:rRNA from 1 species